CCCCUCUCAGGAUGGCACCUGGAGAAUUUCCAGUACUCUAUCAUUCUCUGUUAUGGAAGGGAAAAUCAAGCAGAAGCAUACCCGUUCCAUUCCUAGCUUGAGCAAUGGCUAGUGAGUGGAAGGCAAUCUGCUACAAAU